rnacentral:tRNA from 1 species
GGGGCUAUCUUAUAAAGGUUAUUAUGCUGCACUGUCUAUGCAGCGAUCGGGGUUCGAUUCCCCGUAGCCUCG